rnacentral:tRNA from 1 species
GCCGAGGUGGCGGAACUGGUAGACGCGCAGGAUUUAGGAUCCUGUGUCUUUAAAAGACGUGGAGGUUCGAGUCCUCUCCCCGGCA